CACGUAGGGCGCAAGCGUUGUCCGGAAUUAUUGGGCGUAAAGAGCUCGUAGGCGGUCUGUUGCGUCCGCUGUGAAAACUCGGGGCUUAACCCCGAGCCUGCAGUGGAUACGGGCAGACUAGAGGUAGGUAGGGGAGAAUGGAAUUCCCGGUGUAGCGGUGAAAUGCGCAGAUAUCGGGAGGAACACCGGUGGCGAAAGCGCUCUGCUGGACCUAAACUGACACUGAGGGACGAAAGCUAGGGGAGCGAAUGGG
rnacentral:rRNA from 1 species